UCGCAACAAGGCAAGUCCAGGAGGCCGGUCAUGUUUAUCGACAAUGUGGUGUUCGCCGGAGUGCUGACUGUAGGCCUCAUGGUGUUGUUUUUUGUAGGGUUUGGAUUUUUUAUCUGGAAAGACGCGAACAAGCGUAAAAAACCAUAGGUUUUUCCAGAUUACAUGAGCACGCAAGGCAUUUUGGGCGACUUCGGUCGCCCUUUUUUUU
rnacentral:sRNA from 1 species